UCCGGUUUGGCACCGGCAGUCCCCCGAGAGUCCUCAGCGCCUUGCGGCCUGUUAGCAACACGGGGCGGGGGUUGCGCUCGUUGCGGGAUUUAACCCAACAUCUCACGACACGAGCUGACGACAGCCAUGCAGCACCUGUGCUGGAGCUCCGAAGAGGGGCCGAUGUUUCCACCGGCUUUCCCCAGCAUGUCAAGCCUAGGUAAGGUUCUGCGCGUUGCGUCGAAUUAAACCACAUGCUCCACCGCUUGUGCGGGCCCCCGUCAAUUCCUUUGAGUUUCAGCCUUGCGGCCGUACUCCCCAGGCGGGGCACUUCAUGCGUUAGCGCCGGUACCCCGGGGGUCGCUCCCCAGAGCACCUAGUUGUCAUCGUUUAGGGCGUGGACUAC
rnacentral:misc_RNA from 1 species